GAUGAACGCUAGCUACAGGCUUAACACAUGCAAGUCGAGGGGUAACGAGAGGGAAGCUUGCUUUCCUUGUCGACGACCGGCGCACGGGUGAGUAACGCGUAUCCAACCUGCCCCCAACUAGGGAAUAACCUUGCGAAAGUAAGACUAAUACCCUAUAAUUUCCUCAGAUGUCAUCUGACGAGGAAUAAAGAUUUAUCGGUUGUGGAUGGGGAUGCGUCUGAUUAGCUUGUUGGCGGGGUAACGGCCCACCAAGGCAACGAUCAGUAGGGGUUCGGAGAGGAAGGUCCCCCACAGUGGAACGGGGACACGGUCCAAACUCCUACGGGAGGCAGCAGUGAGGAAUAUUGGUCAAUGGGCGGAAGCCUGAACCAGCCAAGUAGCGUGCAGGAUGACGGCCCUAUGGGUUGUAAACUGCUUUUAUACAGGAAUAAAGUUAGCCACGUGUGGUUAUUUGUAGGUACUGUAUGAAUAAGGACCGGCUAAUUCCGUGCCAGCAGCCGCCGUAA
rnacentral:rRNA from 1 species